UAACAGGAAAUUUAAGGGCGUACGGUGGAUGCCUUGACUUUAAGAAGCGAUGAAGGACGUGGCGUUGCUGCGAUAAGCUUCGGGGAGGUGCUUAGCAACCUUUGAUCCGGAGAUUUCCGAAUGGGGAAACCCUAUCAAGUAAACCUUGAUAAUUUUUUACGUAAGUAAAAUCUGCACACCUUGGGAAGUGAAACAUCUCAGUACCAAGAGGAGAAGAAAAAAACUUGCCCGCCUUUGGCGGGUAAACAUUUCCUUAGUAGCGGCGAGCGAAAAGGAAGGAGCCCAAACCGAGGUAGCAAUACUUCGGGGUUGUAAGGUAACAAUGUAGUUUACUAGAGGAGUCAAAAAAUAAAUUAUUAGUUGAAGUUGCUGGAAAGCGACACCAUAGGGGGUGAUAGUCCCGUAAACAAAAAUAAUUUAUCUCUUUUAUUGUUAUUCUUGAGUACCCCAGGACAUGAGUGGCCGGGGGGAAUCCAGCGGAACUAACCGCUAAGGCUAAAUAUUCUUAAAGAUCGAUAGUGAACAAGUACCGUGAGGGAAAGGUGAAAAGCAGCCCGAUUA
rfam:Candidatus Nomurabacteria bacterium GWB1_40_6 gwb1_scaffold_7862, whole genome shotgun sequence.